AUUGAACGCUGGCGGCAUGCCUUACACAUGCAAGUCGAACGGCAGCACGGGAGCAAUCCUGGUGGCGAGUGGCGAACGGGUGAGUAAUAUAUCGGAACGUGCCCAGUCGUGGGGAUAACGUAGCGAAAGCUACGCUAAUACCGCAUACGAUCUAUGGAUGAAAGCGGGGGAUCGCAAGACCUCGCGCGAUUGGAGCGGCCGAUAUCAGAUUAGGUAGUUGGUGAGGUAAAGGCUCACCAAGCCGACGAUCUGUAGCUGGUCUGAGAGGACGACUAGCCACACUGGGACUGAGACACGGCCCAGACUCCUACGGGAGGCAGCAGUGGGGAAUUUUGGACAAUGGGCGCAAGCCUGAUCCAGCAAUGCCGCGUGCAGGAUGAAGGCC
rnacentral:rRNA from 1 species